rnacentral:lncRNA from 1 species
CAAGGCGACGGCUGCGGAGAGGGGCCCGGACGGCCUUCUUUGGGCAGGAGGAGGACUUACCUGAUCCAACAGACCAGUGGCUUUCUGAGAAGACUACGUUGGACCAUCCUGCCCCCAGAGAAGGUCCCCCUUCCAUCUUUGCCCAUCUUGGCAUUUUGAGAAAAGGAGCUUUAGAGAACGCAAGAAGGAAGAGUGACCGGAGACAAGAGUGCCACCCUGUGGCAAGAGCCUGGCAUUACCAUGCAGAGCCCAGCUGGUAAAGGUAAGGACAGAGUGACUU